rnacentral:rRNA from 1 species
AACGAACGCUGGCGGCAUGCCUAACACAUGCAAGUCGAACGAGACCUUCGGGUCUAGUGGCGCACGGGUGCGUAACGCGUGGGAAUCUGCCCUUGGGUUCGGAAUAACUCGCCGAAAGGCGUGCUAAUACCGGAUGAUGUCGUAAGACCAAAGAUUUAUCGCCCAAGGAUGAGCCCGCGUAAGAUUAGGUAGUUGGUGAGGUAAAGGCUCACCAAGCCGACGAUCUUUAGCUGGUCUGAGAGGAUGAUCAGCCACACUGGGACUGAGAACCGGCCCAGACUCCUACGGGAGGCAGCAGUGGGGAAUAUUGGACAAUGGGCGAAAGCCUGAUCCAGCAAUGCCGCGUGAGUGAUGAAGGCCUUAGGGUUGUAAAGCUCUUUUACCCGGGAUGAUAAUGACAGUACCGGGAGAAUAAGCCCCGGCUAACUCCGUGCCAGCCGCCGCGGUAAGAC